UACGAAGGGUGCAAGCGUUGUUCGGAAUUACUGGGCGUAAAGGGUUUGUAGGCAGAAAUGUAAGUCAAGUGUGAAAUCCCCGAGCUUAACUUGGGACGUGCAUUUGAAACUGUGUUUCUUGAGACUCGGAGAGGGUGGUGGAAUUGUAGGUGUAGGAGUGACAUCCGUAGAGAUCUGCAGGAACAUCAGAGGCGAAAGCGACCACCUGGCCGGAGUCUGACGCUGAGGAACGAAAGCGUGGGGAGCAAACAGG
rnacentral:rRNA from 1 species